rnacentral:rRNA from 1 species
GACGAACGCUGGCGGCGUGCUUAACACAUGCAAGUCGUACGGUAAGGCCCUUUUGUUGGUACACGCGUGGCGAACGGGUGAGUGACGAGCAAGUAACUUGCCCACCCCUUUGGGAUAAAGCUCGGAAACUGGUUCUAACACUGGCCAUGUGCUCCCUCCGCAUGCUGGGGGUUGGAUAGAUCCGGGCGGUGUGGAUGGACUCGCUGGCUAUCUGUUUGCUGGUGGGGUGGUUGCCUACCAAGGCGGCGAUGGGUAGCCAGCCUGCGAGGGUGACCGGCCACAUUGGGGCUGGGGUAAGGCCCCGACUCCUACGGGAGGCAACAGUGGGGGAUAAUGCAAAAUGGGGGGAAGCCUGAUGGAACAAAGCCGCGGUGCGGAUGGCGGCCUUUGGGUUGUAAACCGCUUUCCGCAGGGACGGAGCUUUGUGUGACGGUACCUGCUAAAGAAGCACCGGCUAACUACGUG